GAUGAACGCUGGCGGCGUGCCUAAUACAUGCAAGUCGAGCGAACGGACGAGAAGCUUGCUUCUCUGAUGUUAGCGGCGGACGGGUGAGUAACACGUGUAUAACCUACCUAUAAUACUGGGAUAACUUCGGGAAACCGGAGCUAAUACCGGAUAAUAUUUUGAACCGCAUGGUUCAAAAGUGAAAGACGGUCUUGCUGUCACUUAUAGAUGGAUCCGCGCUGCAUUAGCUAGUUGGUAAGGUAACGGCUUACCAAGGCAACGAUGCAUAGCCGACCUGAGAGGGUGAUCGGACACACUGGAACUGAGACACGGUCCAGACUCCUACGGGAGGCAGCAGUAGGGAAUCUUCCGCAAUGGGCGAAAGCCUGACGGAGCAACGCCGCGUGAGUGAUGAAGGUCUUCGGAUCGUAAAACUCUGUUAUUAGGGAAGAACAUAUGUGUAAGUAACUGUGCACAUCUUGACGGUACCUAAUCAGAAAGCCACGGCUAACUACGUG
rnacentral:rRNA from 1 species